rnacentral:rRNA from 1 species
ACCCGCUGAAUUUAAGCAUAUCAGUAAGGGAGGAAAAGAAAACAACAGUGAUUCCCUCAGUAACUGCGAGUGAAGCGGGAAGAGCCCAACGUCGAAUCGCUUAUGCCUGUAAAUGGGUUGCGAUGAAUUCGCGAGCGAGUUGUGACGUAAGGAAGCAUCUCACCGAGCUGGACCGUGUCGUCAAAGUUUGCCUGGAAGGGCGCGUCAUAGAGGGUGAUAACCCCGUGUGUGGUGACAUGAGUGCUGUGAGAGGUUCAGCUCGCUUAUGUUAACGUAAAUGUGGAGGUGCUUUCCAUGAGCCGGGUUGUUUGGGAUUGCAGCCCUAAGCGGGUGGUAAACUUCACCCAAGGCUAAAUACUGGAACGAGACCGAUAGCGAACAAGUACCGUGAGGGAAAGUUGAAAAGCACUCCGAAAGGAGAGUCAAAAGCACGUGAAACCGUUAAAGGGGAAGCGGAUGAAUGGGUCGAUAAACCCCGCGUGGUUCAGCGUCAUGUGGUAUUGUGGGUAGUUGUGAGGGCUCAUGAUUGCAUUCUCAAUGUGACGCUUAUGCCAGUGCGAUGGGUGAGCCGAAACAGUCGUUGCAAGUACGGCCGAGGCAGGCUGGACGUCUAGAUGUCGUUGUCCGUUGCUUGAUCUGUUAAUAGCAGAUUUUAGCGAUGGUUCGCAAUGGCGGCUGGAUGCUUACCUGUAUGUGUGCGUGUGUGAGAACCAUUAUAAAUACAAUCUCGGCGAACUACUUGAAAGAGCGUUUGUGAUGACUGGAAAUAAGCGUCGUUGAGACGUUGCUGUACGCUCCCGCCGGUGUUUGUGCAUCGGCGUGUGGGGCAAUGUCGAAUUCAUGAUAGUGGGUGCGUCCCGUGUGUGAGACUGGCGAUACCUGUGUCGCUCGGGGUAGCAUCAGGCUUGCUUGGUGCUGCUGCGACGUUAGGUGAGACCUCGGAUGUUCCAUCUGCCGUGGGAACGCAGGCAACUGCGGUCCGCGCACUAGCCAGUGUUCACAUGUGUGUUAAUUGUGUGUAAUUGUAAAAGAUAACAUACCACACACGCAUGCCAUCGCUCGUCAUUGUCAAACGGUAUCACUAGGUGCCGGAUGACGAGCGGGGUCCUGGACGCAGCAUGAUUUGACGCACUUUUGUGUUCGGUACAGCAGAUUUUCGGCGAGAUACCAAUUCAUCCGACCCGUCUUGAAACACGGAACCAAGGAGGCCUAGCAUAAUGGCGCCGAAAGUCAAAGGGUGGAUAAAACCCCAAAAGGCCCAAGCCUAAUAGCACCACCCUGACUCUUCGAAUGGGAUGCAUAGAAGUCAGGGAUGCAGAUGCAGUGAGGCGCAAUGAAAGUGAAUGCCAGAUGUUGCUGGUUUAUUAUGGGAUCUGCUUUUGUGCGAUGCACAUCGGUCGUAGGGGUUUUGCUCACCUUUAACGAGGUGGGUGAGAUUCCGUUACGCGGCCAAAGCCAGAGCAGCGCACCAUAAACCGGUCUGCCCAUAGGUGUGGACUGAGUUAGAGCGCAUAUGCUAGAACCCGAAAGAUGGUGAACUAUUCCUGGGUAGGGCGAAGCCGGAGGAAACUCCGGUGGAGGCUCGCAGCGAUCCUGACGUGCAAAUCGGUCGUCAAACCUGGGUAUAGGGGCGAAAGACUAAUCGAACCAUCUAGUAGCUGGUUCCUUCCGAAAUAUCCCUCAGGAUCGCUGAGACUUGAAAGGCGCACACGCGCUUCACGGUAGUUUCAUCGGGUAGAGCUAAUGAUUAGAGUUAUUUGGGAGCAACAGCUCCUGAAACUAUUCUCAAACUGCCAACCGGUGAGUAGUGUCAGCUUCUUUGGCUUUCUGCUGCCUGGGUUUCGAAGCGUAGUUGUUCCUUCGGGGGCAAAUAGUGUUGUCGGAACUUGGACGGUGGUUGCUCUGCAUUAAUUGACACAGUGUACGCUAGGCGGUGUGAGGUGCGUGAAAGUGAUCUCUCACGGUAGAUGCGCUGCCCAGCUUGCACUGUGUAAGUGCGGGGUAUCAAAGAUGGGGCGAUUGAGCUGAUACAUGUAUUGUGGCUCCGGCUGCAAAGUGCCAACGUGCACUCAUCCUGCGCCGCAGGGCGUAGGGUGGCAAUGUGAAUCCAGAGUCUCAAGUGGGCUGUUUCUGGUAAGCAGAACUGGCGAUGCGGGAUGAACCGAGAGCUGGGUUAAGGUGCCCAAGUGGACGCCCAUGGACACCAUCAAGRUGUCGAUCAGUCAAGAUAGCAGGGCGGUGGCCAUGGAAGUCGGCAUCCGCUAAGGAGUGUGUAACAACUCACCUGCCGAAUCGAUCGGCCCCGAAAAUGGAUGGCGCUUAAGCGUUCCACCGAUACCCGGCCGUCGAUGUACGAAAUGACAGUGAUAUCGGCGGGUAGGAAGGCGCGACGGUUUUUGCACCAUGAUGACGCUGCUAGCUAUGGGUGGUGGGGUAAAACCUGCUUCCCAUGGUGAACCAGCGGUGCGUCGUGGUGGUAUGUGUCUGCUGAGAAGGAUGUGAGACGUGAGUCUGUCCGGAGCAGCCGUCGGUGCAGAUCUUGGUGGUAGUAGCAACUAUUCGAAUGAGAACUUUGAAGGCCGAGGUGGAGACGGGUUCCAUGUGAACAGCAUUUGCACGUGGGUCAGUCGGUCCUAAGCAGUUGCCUAACAGCAUGUUUCAGGCAAAGGGAAGAGGACGCUCGCAAGUUCGCUUUCAGGGCUGCGAAAGGGAAUCAGGUUAAUAUUCCUGGACCAGGUGGCGUGUGCUCCUCUGGUGUGUGUAGGGUCUCCCRCGAGAUCCUAUGCAUACCAGGGGACACAUAAUCGGAAAUGGCCGUGGGGACUGCAGUUGGCUGUGUUUAAAAGUGCGGCCGAUUGUUGUUUGUAUGGUUACAGUGGAUGCGCCGUGGCAGGGCUUGUUACCCGGUUGGUGCCCCAUCGUAGGUAGGUGUAAAAGCCGAUUCUACGAUGAAGGCCCUUCCUGGGUGCWGGCUCAUGUAUGGUGGUAUGCCCAUUGGCUGUGCAUUAGCUCCAGAGGUCAAGGCGGUAACGCAAACAAACUCGGAGACAUCCUUCAUGGUCCUGGAAAGAGUUAUCUUUUCUUGUUAACAGGCCAAGUGAUACGCCCCGGAAAAGAGUCAGUCUGAGAAGGGGCUGUGGGCCUGGAAGAGCAUCGCAGUUUCGGCGGUGUCCGGUGUACCAUGGUGUUAAGGAUCCUUGAAAAUCCGAGGGCGCGUAGCUCCGGCUGGGUGUUGCGUCUAAUAAGCGUGAUGCUCAGUCUGGGAUGUAGAAUUUCGCACCUGUCCGUACCGAAUCCGCAUCAGGUCUCCAAGGUUAACAGCCUCUGGCGUUGAAACAAUGUAGGUAAGGGAAGUCGGCAAAAUCGAUCCGUAACUYCGGGACAAGGAUUGGCUCUAAGGGUUGAGCCACCCGGGCCACUGGCAGAGGAGAGGUGCUCGACCCCGGUCUGGUUAGGGAGCGUGAUUGGUGCGUAAGCACUGCUUGCGCUCCCCUACUGGCUGGGAAUCGGUGCUGAUCCCUGCGUGGUUGGCCAGUGUUGCUGGCCGGUGCGCCUGUGUGCCACAGUUCGCCAGCGCCUAGUAUCUGUGCGCCGAGUUGCGUACAGUGUGCUGGCGAAUGGCAUGCGGGCUGCCGGUUAGUGUGCUGGCCCCUGGUGAAAUAGUGCAUGUGAUAAAUGUGCAUUUUAUUCGCCAAUUUGCCUCACAGCAAGUGAGUGCUGUGUGUGGGUUCGGGUCCGCUGCCACCAAGGUGGUGGCCAUGCUAGUCAUAGCCACCAAUGAGCGCUGGCAGUGUGAGGCCCGGAUUGGACACAGUGUUCGGCGGGUGGCAGAUUGAACAACCGACUUAGAACUGUCACUGACUCUGGGAAUCCGACUGUUUAAUUAAAACAAAGCAUUGCGAUGGCUGGAAACGGUGUUGAUGCAAUGUGAUUUCUGCCCAGUGCUCUGAAUGUUAAAGUGCGGAAACGCAACCAAGCUCGGGUAAACGGCAGGAGUAACUAUGACUCUGUGAAGGUAGCCAAAUGCCUCGUCAUCUAAUUAGUGACGCGCAUGAAUGGAUCAACGAGAUUCCCACUGUCCCUACCUACCAUUCAGCGAAACCACAGUCAAGGGAACGGGCUUGACUAAGACAGCGGGGAAAGAAGACCCUGUUGAGCUUGACUCUAGUUUGGCUUUGUGAGAAGACACCAGAGGUGUAGCAUAGGUGGGAGGUGUGUGAUGCGAGCAAUCGCGUGUGUGCACCGUCCUUGAAAUACCACCACUUUGGUCGUUUUUUCACUGACUUGGUGAUACAGGAAGGACCAACUAUACAGUCGGCCGCAUUCUUUUAUGCAGGCCUAGGUGUGGCGCGAGUGCUCACAUCCCACGGCGAAAACAGUUGGAUUGCAGGGCCGGUGGUGUUCACUGCCGGGGAGGCUGUGGCAGAGGUAUUCAGUUAUCUGCGCCGCGGUCGGAAUCUCCGGCAGUGCGCUCCGGGCAAAACCCUGCCUUUUGAAUGCUCGCUGUGGGGCAAAGUGUGGACACUCAAAUUAGCUGCAUCAUGGACGGCAUACAUUGUGUGCGGGCGGGUAGAGUUUAUGGUUCAUUGCUUAGUAUUCAAAGCGGGUGUUUGGGGUGUGUUAAUAGCGCAUCAGGGGCACCACGCUGACCUAUGAGGCUGGAUCGGCUGGCGCACAUAGGGGUAAAACUCGUGGCCGUGUCAGUUAGCCAGUCUCCUAGACAGCGUACCGGCUGGGCCGGUGACUGGUGUGUCGUGGGUCCGUGCUGCGUGUAAAAGCGUAGUAUGGGUUUGCGUGCACAUUGGAGCCGGAUAUCAGCUGGUGCGAUGAUUUGCCAAGGACCGAGUCAGAUGGGGAGUUUGACUGGGGCGGUACAUCCUUUACAUUCUAACGAGGAUGUCCUAAGGCGAGCUCACCGUGGACAGAAACCACGGGUAGAACAUAAGGGCAAAAGCUCGCUUGAUUCGCAUUCCCAGUACGAAUGCGAACCGUGAAAGCGUGGCCUAACGAUCCUUUACCAUACACACCUGAAAGUUUCAGGUUAGAGGUGUCAGAAAAGUUACCACAGGGAUAACUGGCUUGUGGCAGCCAAGCGUCCAUAGCGACGUUGCCGUUUGAUCCUUCGAUGUCGGCUCUUCCUAUCAUUGGGUUGCAGAAGGCCCAAAUGUUGGAUUGUUCACCCACCAACAGGGAACGUGAGCUGGGUUUAGAC